UACGAAGGGGGCGAGCGUUUGUUCGGAUUUACUGGGCGUAAAGGGCGCGCAGGCGGCCGCAUUUGUCAGGCGUGAAAUCCCCCGGCUUAACCUGGGAACUGCGUCUGAUACUGGAGGGCUUGAGUGCGGGAGAGGGAUGUGGAAUUCCAGGUGUAGCGGUGAAAUGCGUAGAUAUCUGGAGGAAUACCGGUGGCGAAGGCGGCAUCCUGGACCGACAUUGACGCUGAGGAGCGAAAGCCAGGGGAGCAAACGGG
rnacentral:rRNA from 1 species